GACGAACGCUGGCGGCGUGCCUAAUACAUGCAAGUCGAGCGAUGAAGGUUGGUCCUUGUACCAACUGGAUGAGCAGCGAAUGGGUGAGUAACGCGUGGGGAAUCUGCCUUUGAGCGGGGGACAACAUUUGGAAACGAAUGCUAAUACCGCAUAAAAACUUUAAACACAAGCUUACAGUUUGAAAGAUGCAAUUGCAUAACACAACGAUGAUCCCACGUUGAAUUAGCUAGUUGGUGAGGUAAAGGCUCAUCAAGGCGAGGAUACAUAGCCGACCUGAGAGGGUACUCUGCCUCGCUGGGACGGGGGCGCGGCCCAAACUCCUGCGGGAGGCAGCCGGAGGGGACCUUCGGCGAUAGACGAAAGGCGGACCGUGCAACGCCGCGUGAGUGAAGAAGGCUUUCGGAUCGUAAAACUCUGUUGGUAGAGAAGAACGUUGGUGACAGUGGAAAGCUCAUCAAGUGACGGUAACUACCCAGAAAGCGACGGCUAACUACGUG
rnacentral:rRNA from 1 species